GCUGAGCAUCAGGCUGGCAGCAGAGGCGCUGCAUUCGGAGCCGUCCCGGAGCCGGAGAUGUGGCCCUCAAGAAUCUUGAAGUCAAAGAAAAUGCCCUGAGUCAACUGGAUGUGCCCUUUAAAGUUAAAGUUGGUCAUAUUGGUAAUCUUAAACUUAGAAUUCCAUGGAAAAACCUUUAUACUCAACCAUUUGAAGCUGUAUCAGAAGAUAUUUAUUUACUCAUAGUGCCUUCUUCCAGAAUAAAAUAUGAUCCUUUAAAGGAAGAAAAAUGGGAUCCAACAUGGCGGCGAGAGGGGAGGCAGCGCUUUCAGU
rnacentral:lncRNA from 1 species